UUUGUACUCCCUCCGUCCCAAAAUUCUUUUCUUAAAUUUGUCUAAAUACGGAUGUAUCUAGUUACAUUUUAGUGUUAGAUACAUCCAUAUCUAAACAAAUGUAAGACAAGAAUUUUGGGACGGAGGGAAUACUAC
rnacentral:pre_miRNA from 1 species